UACGGGGGGGGCAAGCGUUGUUCGGAAUUAUUGGGCGUAAAGAGCUCGUAGGCGGCUUGUUGCGUCGACUGUGAAAACCCGCGGCUCAACCGCGUGGCUUGCAGUCGAUACGGGCAGGCUAGAAUUCGGUAGGGGAGACUGGAAUUCCUGGUGUAGCGGCGAAAUGCGCAGAUAUCAGGAGGAACACCGGUGGCGAAGGCGGGUCUCUGGGCCGAUAUUGACGCUGAGGAGCGAAAGCGUGGGGAGCGAACAGG
rnacentral:rRNA from 1 species